rnacentral:rRNA from 1 species
GAUGAACGCUGGCGGCGUGCCUAAUACAUGCAAGUCGAGCGAACAGACGAGGAGCUUGCUCCUCUGAUGUUAGCGGCGGACGGGUGAGUAACACGUGGAUAACCUACUUAUAAGACUGGGAUAACUUCGGGAGACCGGAGCUAAUACUGCAUAACAUGUUGUACCGCAUGGUUCAACAGUGAAAGACGGUCUUGCUGUCACUUAUAGAUGGAUCCGCGCCGCAUUAGCUAGUUGGUAAGGUAACGGCUUACCAAGGCAACGAUGCGUAGCCGACCUGAGAGGGUGAUCGGCCACACUGGAACUGAGACACGGUCCAGACUCCUACGGGAGGCAGCAGUAGGGAAUCUUCCGCAAAGGGCGAAAGCCUGACGGAGCAACGCCGCGUGAGUGAAGAAGGUCUUCGGAUCGUAAAACUCUGUUAUUAGGGAAGAACAAAUGUGUAAGUAACUAUGCACGUCUUGACGGUACCUAAUCAGAAAGCCACGGCUAACUACGUG